UACGUAGGGGGCAAGCGUUGUCCGGAAUCAUUGGGCGUAAAGAGCGUGUAGGCGGCCAGAUAAGUCCGCUGUGAAAUCUCGAGGCUCAACUUCGAGCUGUCGGUGGAAACUGUCUGGCUAGAGUCCGGAAGAGGAGAAUGGAAUUCCUGGUGUAGCGGUGAAAUGCGCAGAUAUCAGGAGGAACACCGGUGGCGAAGGCGCUCAUCUGGCCCAAUACUGACGCUGAGGCGCGAAAGCUAGGGGAGCAAACGGG
rnacentral:rRNA from 1 species